UACGUAGGGUGCGAGCGUUAAUCGGAAUUACUGGGCGUAAAGCGUGCGCAGGCGGUUAUUUAAGUCAGGUGUGAAAGCCCUGGGCUUAACCUAGGAAUUGCGCUUGAGACUGGAUAGCUUGGAGUGCGGCAGAGGGAGGUGGAAUUCCACGUGUAGCAGUGAAAUGCGUAGAGAUGUGGAGGAACACCGAUGGCGAAGGCAGCCUCCUGGGCCAGCACUGACGCUCAUGCACGAAAGCGUGGGGAG
rnacentral:rRNA from 1 species